rnacentral:tRNA from 1 species
GCCAGUAUGGUAUAGUGGUUUGAAUGUUGGACUGUGACUCUGGAGAGCAGGGUUCGAUUCCUGGCUCGGCCA